UUUAAGGCUGAGACACGACGUCGAGCACCUACGGGUGUGAAGUCAUUGAUGCCAUGCUUCCAGGAAAAGCCUCUAAGCUUCAGAUUGUAAGGAAUCGUACCCCAAACCGACACAGGUGGUCGGGUAGAGAAUACCAAGGCGCUUGAGAGAACUCGGGUGAAGGAACUAGGCAAAAUGGUACCGUAACUUCGGGAGAAGGUACGCUCUCGACGGUGAAGUCCCU
rnacentral:rRNA from 1 species